rnacentral:rRNA from 1 species
GACGAACGCUGGCGGCGUGCCUAAUACAUGCAAGUAGAACGCUGAAGGAGGAGCUUGCUUCUCUGGAUGAGUUGCGAACGGGUGAGUAACGCGUAGGUAACCUGCCUGGUAGCGGGGGAUAACUAUUGGAAACGAUAGCUAAUACCGCAUAACAGUAGAUAUCGCAUGAUAUCUACUUGAAAGGUGCAAUUGCAUCACUACCAGAUGGACCUGCGUUGUAUUAGCUAGUUGGUGAGGUAACGGCUCACCAAGGCGACGAUACAUAGCCGACCUGAGAGGGGGGGGGGCCACACUGGGACUGGGACACGGCCCAGCCUCCUAGGGGGGGCAGCAGUGGGGAUUCUUCGGAAAGGGACGGAAGUCUGACCGAGCAACGCCGCGUGAGGAAAGAGGGUUUUCGGAUCGUAAGGCUCUGUUGAAAGAGAAGAACGAGUGUGAGAGGGGAAAUUUCACACUGUGACGGUAUCUUACCAGAAAGGGCCGGCUAACUCCGUC